rnacentral:rRNA from 1 species
AUACGGAGGGUCCGAGCGUUAAUCGGAAUUACUGGGCGUAAAGCGCGCGUAGGCGGCUAUAUAAGUCAGAUGUGAAAUCCCUGGGCUCAACCUAGGAACUGCAUUUGAAACUGUAUGGCUAGAGUAUGCUAGAGGUGAGUGGAAUUUCAGGUGUAGCGGUGAAAUGCGUAGAGAUCUGAAGGAACAUCAGUGGCGAAGGCGACUCACUGGGCCAUUACUGACGCUGAGGUGCGAAAGCGUGGGUAGCAAACAGGAUUAGAAACCCUAGUAGUCC